CCUGAACGCUGGCGGCGUGGUUAAGACAUGCAAGUCGCACGGGUGCAGCAAUGCAUCAGUGGCGGACGGGAGCGUAAUGUAUCGCUAACGUGCCCUCAGGACGGGGAUAGCCGGCCGAAAGGCCGGGUAAUACCCGGUAAGACCCCGGAGUCGCAUGGCUCUGUGCUCAUAAGCCGCAAGGCGCCUGAGGAGCGGGUGAUAUCGUAUCAGCUAGUUGGCAGGGUAACGGCCUACCAAGGCGACGACGCGUAGCUGGUCUGAGAGGACGGCCAGCCUCAUCGGGACUGAGACACUGCCCGGACUCCUACGGGGGGCUGCAGUAACGAAUCUUCCCCAAUGCGCGAAAGCGUGAGGGAGCGACGCCGCGUGGAGGAUGAAGUCCUUCGGGAUGUAAACUCCUGUCAGGGAUAAGAAAGAACUGAUCUAUCCCAGAGGAAGUGGCGGCUAACUCUGUGCCAGCAGCCGCGGUAAGACAGAGGCCACAAGCGUUAGGCGGAAUC
rnacentral:rRNA from 1 species